rnacentral:rRNA from 1 species
AUUGACCGCUGGCGGCAGGCCUAACACAUGCAAGUCGAGCGGAUGACGGGAGCUUGCGCCUUGAUUCAGCGGCGGACGGGUGAGUAAUACCUAGGAAUCUGCCUGGUAGUGGGGGACAACGUUUCGAAAGGAACGCUAAUACCGCAUACGUCCUACGGGAGAAAGCAGGGGACCUUCGGGCCUUGCGCUAUCAGAUGAGCCUAGGUCGGAUUAGCUAGUUGGUGGGGUAAUGGCUCACCAAGGCGACGAUCGGUAACUGGUCUGAGAGGAUGAUCAGUCACACUGGAACUGAGACACGGUCCAGACUACUACGGGAGGCAGCAGUGGGGAAUAUUGGACAAUGGGCGAAAGCCUGAUCCAGCCAUGCCGCGUGUGUGAAGAAGGUCUUCGGAUUGUAAAGCACUUUAAGUUGGGAGGAAGGGCAGUAAUCGAAUACCUUGCUGUUUUGACGUUACCGACAGAAUAAGCACCGGCUAACUCUGUGCCAGCCGCCGCCGUAAUAC